CUUAUUUCCUUUGUUUUAUUAUGAGCAUUAGCGUUAACAGGCAAUUUGUAUUCUCGUAAAUGUCUUGAAACGUGUACACAUAUAUGUAAUUACAAGAUAUAUUAGUCAUGUCCGCUUUGAGAAAAACCCUUCAAUGAGAACUCUGUUGGAUCGUCGCCAAAAUUGUAAUCGCUUUAUUUCACCUCUUUUAAUGCGAAAUGCGGCUGUUGAUUUCGACUUCUAAAAACUACUCGUUCUCAAGAAGCACACGUUUUCGUUCCACUUUCAUACAAUCGAAUAUUCGUGUGACCGUGUUAAAUACAUUUGCAAAAAUUAAAAAAGAUCAUGAAAGGUAUCAUUCGAUAUUCAGUGAUUGUGUCAAAUAUUGAAGCACAUAUCCUUCCAGUUUUUUCUUCUAAUCUUAAAUUUUCAUUCAACUCGAUUUUUUGCUGUGACAACAAUCGUUCACCGAUUACGAGAUUAUCUGGAAUGAAUGGGAAAGAGAACAAGAUGUGUGUCAUUAUUUAAAAUUGAAAUCGAUGAUCAACACAUGGAAAUAUUUAAUUCUCUUUUAUUUCUUUAAGUAUUAUUUAAAUAUUAUAUUAUUUUAAUAAAUUUGAAAAUAAUUAAAAAUUUAUUUUGCAAAAUAUAUUAUUAAUAUAUUUUUUCUCAUUACGUGUAUUUAGAUUUGUUUAUACUUUCAAUAAAAAAUGAGAAUAAAUAUUUGAAUUAGAUGGGACAUAUUACUAAUUAGUUUAAUGAAACUGUAAAAAAAAAAUUAUCAAAUUAAUUGAAUUAUAUUUUGUAGAAUACAAAAGAGUUAAAUUUGAAUUUUCUGUUUCUGUUCGAAUCGAAAUGCGAAAGGUAAGAAGGUCCUCGAAGUACCUGUUCGUCCUUCGACGAAGCUGAACAGUAAAUCGAUCCUGCUUACCUGACGAAGCGGAAAUGGCUAUUUAUAACUACGAAUGCCUCUUGAAUUUUUAUUUACAGUUUAUGAGAAGGGUCCAAUGAAGAAUAUAUUACUUUACAAUGAUCAAAGCUUCGUAUUCUUCCAAUUUUAUAUGUGCAAUUACGUGUAAUAUAUAUUAAAGAGUAAAAUAUAAUAUAUUUAAUCUAAUUCUUUUAAAAAUUUAUUUAAUGUAUUCUUUUAAAAAUUCAAAGUAUAAAAUUUUAUACAAGUUUUGUCGAUAAAUUUAAAAUUGAUAUAAUAUAUAUCAAUUAAUAAUAUAUAUUAUAUAUAAUAUAAUAUAAUUAUAUUAUAAUUUAUAAUUAUAAUUAUAUAUAUUAUAAUUAUAAUAUAAUUUAAAAUUGAAAUAUAAAAUAAUAGUCGUAUAAGAAUAUCAUUCGUCGAUAUCCACAUUCCUAAAUCGUUGAAAUAUGUAAAAAAAAAAAAAUGCCUGAAAAUUCGAAAGUAGUUUGCACUGCCAAAGAAGACGUGUUUAACUGGAAGAGGCGACCUACAUAUUAUCUACGCAUGACUACACUGAUAGAAAACUCUCACAUGUAUAGGGUGAACUAAUUGUAAUCAACUGCAUAUGGCAAUGCUUCUGGAUAUUCCGAUUAAUUUCAAUUUCCUGUGCAUGACACAAAUAUUGAUGAUGAUCAUGAGAACGAUGUCAUUAAAAAGAUUUAAUAUCUCAACUAUUAUAUUUUUAACUAUUUCAUUAGAAUUAAAAUGUAAAAAUGUAAUUCGCGAUUCUCUUAGAUAUAAAUAUUUAUAUGUAAAUGAUUCACUCUUUAUGAACUAUAAAUUUUUCUUUAUUUUUCCGAUAAAUUUCUAAAAUUACAUUAAAUUUCUGAAAUUACAACAAAUUAUUCAUUACAUUUUCUGUUCCUCGAUAUAAAAUGAUUCAAUGUUUAAUUAUUUUUUUACGAUAUCAUAUGAAGUGCUUUAAAUCGCAAAUAAUUUUCGAUAUAAUACACACGAUUCAAAUUUUAAUACAUGAAAUUGUAGGUCAUUAAAGCGCUUAACAUUUCCGUGAAUGGUAUAAAUGAAGAGCGGUGGAGACCGAUUGAGCUACAUACAUAGACGGCUAACAAGCCGUCCAAACUAAAGUUGCACAGAUAAGGUAAGACCUUGCUUCUCUGAACAAGGACACCAGACGUUGUCUUACCAUAUAGACAACAUACCAUCCUAGCUAUAUGUAGUUACACGUAUGCUGUUCCACUUUCAUAUGCAACGAGAACGGUGCACUUGGCCUACCGUGAAUGUAUAUGUGUCACAUAUAUAAUAUUGCAAAGUUAUACAGAGACGUGAAAACUAUGAUGAACUUCGGAUAGUUUCUUUCCAUUAGAAGCUUUCUUCGAUAUUUAAAUUUUUCGUAGAAUCAUUCGGACCGAAUACAAUUGCGAUUGUAACAACAGAAAGCGGAAUGUUUUUUGUUUUAGUUUCAACCUAACCAAACCUAACAAAUGCUGAUUGAAAGUUUUGAAAAAUCAAUGAUCGAUGAUGGAACGAAUUUCAAAGAAUUAAUAGAAAAUAAAUUGAUAAAAUAAGUGUAUAAAAAUUUGAAAAAAAUUGAUUUAAUGAUAUUUCAUUUGUAUGUAUGUUUGUAAUAAAAACGGAGAUGUUUCGAAGUUUUUAAAAUGGCUGUUCGCUCAAGCGAAUAUAUUUCUCAAGUGUACAUAUUUCUCAAAAGCAAAUUGAAAGUAGUAGUCGACCAAUAUUUCACCGCAGAACUUGACACCCAUGGCAACAAAGAAAAGCUAAAAUAAAUUUAACAUGGCUCUAAGUAAAUGUAACUUUAAUGCAAAAAAGUGACAUCGUUGCACGUAUUUAUAUAUCAUACAUAUAUCAGAUAUUUUAAAAUAUUUUUAACAUGCUAUGCGUUUAAUAUUUAUAAAUAAAAUUAAUUAAAUUAAUUUUAUUUCAAAUAAAUAAAAUUGAAAAAAUAAAAAAUAAUUAUCUUUUUCUGAUUUUAAUAAAGUCGUAUCUGAAAAGAUUAAUAAACAUAGAUAUUUUUUAUCAUUAUUGGUAUCAUUAUUACUGAUUACUGAUGAAUUGGUAAAUAUUCGAAUGUUAAGUAUUGAUAAAUAGUAAUUAGUAAAUAAUAGAUCAUAUAAAACUAAUACUAAUAUCAAUAAUAUAAUGAUACCAAGAUAUAAGAUAAUUGUUACGUUUCGUGCGAUAAUUAUCAGAAGGAAAAUUUUCCUUUGUAUCGUGUCCAUUAUAAAAUAAUAUAAUCUUAUUUGUUUAAUCCAUGUAUAAUGAUCAUUCAUAAGUAUUCUUAUCGAUGUAUAGAUGUAUACCUAUUUAAGAUCACUAGUGCAAAAAAUAUAACUUUCCUGAAUGAUAGAUGAACAUAUUACGCUUUCGUGUUUCAUGCUCAUUAUUUCGUAAUAACACAAUUUAUUAGUUUUCCUUUACUCAUCGUUCAUCGACAGAAAUUUCUUAGAACGAUUUCUGACAUCGUUCGGAUAAAUCAAUCGCACGAAUUCCUUAUCGUUUAAACUUCCUUAAGUUUUCUUCCUUUUUCGAUUCAUCUGUUAAACUCAAACAAAAAAAAGAAAGCUAAAUAAGAAAAAUAAAUAAAUUUGUUAAAAUGUAUUUUUCAAAUAACAUUUUUCAAAAUAAUUAUCAAAUUUUAUGAAAUAUGUAACCCGUGUAAAAAUUACACAAAUGUGAAUCGUUGAGCGCCGAUUUGAAUAUACGGAAGGACAAAAUCAUCUUUUUGGUAAUCUUAACGAUCUACGGCCAUGUUCCAAAUCCUUGAAUUUACUUCCUUCGUGGAAGAAAACGGAGUCAAGAACGUAAGUAGUAGCCGGCAGUAUGUGAGUACAUUCGUUUUACCGGUUGUCUACCUGUUCUGGGUCAGUCGUGUGUGCAAGGUCAAAUCCCAAGAAUCUCCAACGUCAUUCCGUCAGAGCUGAAGACCGCGGAUCUUGCGUGCUAGAAUGGAAUAGUCGUCAUUUUUACCUUCGAUUCGUCAACUCACUCAAAGAAAAAUAUUUCAUCGGCAUUGACGAACCCGAUACUAUGGCUAUUAUGGGCACAAAAAAUUAUAAAAAAUUUAAAUUUUUAUUUUUUUGUUAAAUCUGAAUUCAAUAUUUUUCUUUUUUUUAUUAUUUUUUUUUUUUAAUUUAAAAUAUUAAUUUUGAUAUGUACGUUUUGCUUUUAAUUUAUGAAUAGAAGAAUUCCAUAUAUAGAAUAUGAGAUUGUAUAGAUUGUAAGAUAUAAAUACGUGAAAAACAGUGAAGUAAAAAUCUAAGCAUCUUUAUUCUACAUUACUUAAAGAUUAUCUUAUCGAUAUUAUUAAAAAAUAUUGUUAUCAGAGAAAAAUUAUUAUUAUUUUUAUUAUUAAUUUUAUCAAUUUUUAUAAAAAUAUGAUACUUAUAUUUUAAGUGUUUAAGGAAAAUAUAUAUUUACCAAUUAUUAUUUCGAUUUCUAUUCGUAAAUACUUUCUUUCUAAAUUUCUAAACUAUAAAAAAAAAUAAAACAAAUAUUUGAUUUUCGAACUUAUUUCGGAAAAAAGAACAUAGAUUAAAAAAGCAAAUGAUUAUAUCUAUCUUUGAAUAAUAGAUAGAUGCAUGUAAUCGCAUGAAUUUUACACGUGUCAUUGUAAAUGCUUGGAAUAAUGCAAUUACUAUAUGAGUAAGCGAUGAAUAAACAACAACGUACUCUGACUAACGGUUGAAAUCCUUGUCAAAAGUAAGCCACUACUUUGAAUCAUCGAAUGAAUUUUUGAUCGAAGUUUUGAAUCGUUCGUUCAUAAACGAAUAACAAUUUUUCCAAUCUUUGCAUACAUAUUAUCAUUUUCUUUAUCAUCAGCUGCUCAGUCCAACGUCACUGUUUCUCGAUUUAACGAGCCAUAAGUCAACACUAAAUAUAGUGAUCGCGUAUUAUCGCGCGUCUCUGACCGGAUUCCUGGCAUGCUUGGCAAUCGCCAAUGAGAACUGUUACUAUGACUAGAAAUUAGUUGCAGACAAAUUAAUUACUUCUCACUUUAAGAUUGAUUAUGAAUUGAAUGUUUAUAAAAAUUUAAUAAAAUUUAAUAAAAAGAUUUAAAAUUUAAAUAUUUUAGUUUAAAAGAAAUUGAAAGAAAAACUGCGAAACGAGAUGAAAUUUUUCACUGAGAAAUUUUUAUCUUCUAUUUAAAGACAAUUCAAGUAUUACACGUGAACGGUCACUAGAUUGUACUUUGAAGAGAAGAGAAGUAUAUAAAAGAUCUUUUUUGUUCUUACCAAGGGAAAAUAAAGAAAUAUUCAUGAAGUAUAUGUAACAAAAAAAAUUAAAAUUACAUUUUAAUCUUUCAUAGUAUUUUCUCUGAAAAUAAUCAAGAUUUAGAUAAAAAUUGUAUAAAAUUUUUUUAAAUUGUAUAUAUAAAAGUAUAAAAUAUUGAAUUAUCUUAUUUUAUAAUUAUAUAUAAUUUUUUCAUUAUAUUUUUAUAAGUCUUUUCAUUGCAAUAUAAGUUAGCUUUCAAAAUAUCAUUAUUUACGAAUCAUUCAUAAGAUAUCGCAAUAAUUUAUAUCAUAAUUCAAAAUUAUAUUGAGUAAACUGAUAUAUAAAAAAAAAUAAAAAGUCAUAAACUUAUCUUGUUAAAUUUUAUCAAUAAUUCGUGAUGAAUAAACUAAUUUUAAUCACUGUAUUUUUAAGAAAAAAUUCGUAACUGUAAAAACAUUCUUCGAUAAGUAUACUUGUUUACAAAGAAUUUCUAUUUCAAGUUCUUUCAAUACAUUUCCCCAAACUCUGACUUCUUUGUUAACUUGGUGAAUUUUCAAUUCGCGAAAAAUAUGCCGUACAAGGUCUUUGACCUCGUUACGGUGAUUCUCGAUGAUAGUUUCACUGUCUGGACCGAAUGCAUGCGGCUAGUCCAAUGAGAAAGAACCUUAAGCACUCUUCUGGGUGGGUGCGUUGAACUUACCGUCGCAUUCCGUAUUGAUUUCGGUGGCACUGCGCGACUGGAGCCAGACGUUACCUACAGCACGUGUCCGCGUAGGACAGACACGCCCAAUCUGAACUUUCCACAGGACGAGAUCAUGGAUCUAAUAUGAGAUAAAAAGUUCGAAAGAAAAAAUACAUCCAAUCUUUCCAUGGAAAUUGCACUAAACACUUUCACUGAAAACGGCCGAUGACUAAAGCAUGGACAUAAUCGGUUAAUCGUUAUGCCGAUGGCACGGCCAGAGCCUUACGCAAGGCCUCGAAGACCUUGAACGGGACCUUAUUUGGUAAGCAAGGUCGAGGCUUUGCGGACCAUUGGGUUUUCAGGCCGCCCACAAUGCAACUUGCACCUUAUUUGGAUUUAAUUCUUCCUAUCGAGAAGAAUUACCGCGAUAAUAAAGAAAGUAAAUAGAAAUACAUUGUAUGAUAUUGACUGAAUUAACAAAAAUUAAUUUAGAUAUGUAUUUGGAAAUGGUAUUAUAAAAUGUUUCAUAUAUUUCAUAAAUUAUAAAUAUUUUUAUUGCAUCACAAAUUAUAUUUAGCACAUAAACUUUCUGUUUUAAGCAUUUUUUUAUAUUAUAUAAUAUUUUUGAAUGACUUUUAUUAAUAUUAUAUAUACAUAUAUUUAUCUUUUUAGUUUAAAUAUAUUUAAGGAUAUCGAUUAUUUUAUAAAUCUUUCUUGUUACAUUUGAUCAUAUUUGUUCAUAUAUUGUGAAGUGUAUAGAUAUUUAUGUUACGAUUUAUAUAUUUUUAUGAUCAUAUAUUUUCAUUCUUAUAUUUUAUUUAAUACUCGAAAAGUUAAAAGCAUAUUUUACAUCGUAUUUUGUAUGAAGAUGCUGCAUGCAAGUGACAGUGGGCCGGGCGCUGACAUCAUUUUGAGG